GCACUCCAGUUUCGGGGGAGUCGUGGUCGGAGGACAUGGUGCCAUGGAGAAAACAAUGCAGGGAGCAGAGCAUGACGGCACAGACUGGCCCUGACAGCUGGCAGUUCCCCUGCUGCAUGCACACCAUGGUUGUGCAACACAAAAUGUCCUUCUCCCAGGUACCGCUCUGAAAAUUUCAGCUGCAUCGCCACAGCUGUAAGAGGACCAAGUCAAAGCACAUCUUUGUGAUCACUUUUCCAGCAGAUUGUGCCAUUGACUGAAAGACCUCAAAAGGAGAUGACAUAGCCAAGAGCCAGACCCCAAAAGUUUCUGAGUACCUUCUGCUCCCAGCACUUGCUUUGGAGGAUGAAAAUAUUCAGCACAAGAGAAGGCCUUUUCCCUUCCAUAGCUUGUUUGUGGAUUGUCGUUCUUACCUCUGUGGAACACAUAAAACACACAAUAAUUCCUUUCCCUGCC